rnacentral:rRNA from 1 species
GGUUAAGCGACUAAGCGUACACGGUGGAUGCCCUGGCAGUCAGAGGCGAUGAAGGACGUGCUAAUCUGCGAUAAGCGUCGGUAAGGUGAUAUGAACCGUUAUAACCGGCGAUUUCCGAAUGGGGAAACCCAGUGUGUUUCGACACACUAUCAUUAACUGAAUCCAUAGGUUAAUGAGGCGAACCGGGGGAACUGAAACAUCUAAGUACCCCGAGGAAAAGAAAUCAACCGAGAUUCCCCCAGUAGCGGCGAGCGAACGGGGAGCAGCCCAGAGCCUGAAUCAGUGUGUGUGUUAGUGGAAGCGUCUGGAAAGGCGCGCGAUACAGGGUGACAGCCCCGUACACAAAAAUGCACAUGCUGUGAGCUCGAUGAGUAGGGCGGGACACGUGGUAUCCUGUCUGAAUAUGGGGGGACCAUCCUCCAAGGCUAAAUACUCCUGACUGACCGAUAGUGAACCAGUACCGUGAGGGAAAGGCGAAAAGAACCCCGGCGAGGGGAGUGAAAAAGAACCUGAAACCGUGUACGUACAAGCAGUGGGAGCACAGAGCAAUCUGUGUGACUGCGUACCUUUUGUAUAAUGGGUCAGCGACUUAUAUUCUGUAGCAAGGUUAACCGAAUAGGGGAGCCGAAGGGAAACCGAGUCUUAACUGGGCGUUAAGUUGCAGGGUAUAGACCCGAAACCCGGUGAUCUAGCCAUGGGCAGGUUGAAGGUUGGGUAACACUAACUGGAGGACCGAACCGACUAAUGUUGAAAAAUUAGCGGAUGACUUGUGGCUGGGGGUGAAAGGCCAAUCAAACCGGGAGAUAGCUGGUUCUCCCCGAAAGCUAUUUAGGUAGCGCCUCGUGAAUUCAUCUCCGGGGGUAGAGCACUGUUUCGGCAAGGGGGUCAUCCCGACUUACCAACCCGAUGCAAACUGCGAAUACCGGAGAAUGUUAUCACGGGAGACACACGGCGGGUGCUAACGUCCGUCGUGAAGAGGGAAACAACCCAGACCGCCAGCUAAGGUCCCAAAGUCAUGGUUAAGUGGGAAACGAUGUGGGAAGGCCCAGACAGCCAGGAUGUUGGCUUAGAAGCAGCCAUCAUUUAAAGAAAGCGUAAUAGCUCACUGGUCGAGUCGGCCUGCGCGGAAGAUGUAACGGGGCUAAACCAUGCACCGAAGCUGCGGCAGCGACGCUUAUGCGUUGUUGGGUAGGGGAGCGUUCUGUAAGCCUGCGAAGGUGUGCUGUGAGGCAUGCUGGAGGUAUCAGAAGUGCGAAUGCUGACAUAAGUAACGAUAAAGCGGGUGAAAAGCCCGCUCGCCGGAAGACCAAGGGUUCCUGUCCAACGUUAAUCGGGGCAGGGUGAGUCGACCCCUAAGGCGAGGCCGAAAGGCGUAGUCGAUGGGAAACAGGUUAAUAUUCCUGUACUUGGUGUUACUGCGAAGGGGGGACGGAGAAGGCUAUGUUGGCCGGGCGACGGUUGUCCCGGUUUAAGCGUGUAGGCUGGUUUUCCAGGCAAAUCCGGAAAAUCAAGGCUGAGGCGUGAUGACGAGGCACUACGGUGCUGAAGCAACAAAUGCCCUGCUUCCAGGAAAAGCCUCUAAGCAUCAGGUAACAUCAAAUCGUACCCCAAACCGACACAGGUGGUCAGGUAGAGAAUACCAAGGCGCUUGAGAGAACUCGGGUGAAGGAACUAGGCAAAAUGGUGCCGUAACUUCGGGAGAAGGCACGCUGAUAUGUAGGUGAAGCGACUUGCUCGUGGAGCUGAAAUCAGUCGAAGAUACCAGCUGGCUGCAACUGUUUAUUAAAAACACAGCACUGUGCAAACACGAAAGUGGACGUAUACGGUGUGACGCCUGCCCGGUGCCGGAAGGUUAAUUGAUGGGGUCAGCGCAAGCGAAGCUCUUGAUCGAAGCCCCGGUAAACGGCGGCCGUAACUAUAACGGUCCUAAGGUAGCGAAAUUCCUUGUCGGGUAAGUUCCGACCUGCACGAAUGGCGUAAUGAUGGCCAGGCUGUCUCCACCCGAGACUCAGUGAAAUUGAACUCGCUGUGAAGAUGCAGUGUACCCGCGGCAAGACGGAAAGACCCCGUGAACCUUUACUAUAGCUUGACACUGAACAUUGAGCCUUGAUGUGUAGGAUAGGUGGGAGGCUUAGAAGUGUGGACGCCAGUCUGCAUGGAGCCGACCUUGAAAUACCACCCUUUAAUGUUUGAUGUUCUAACGUUGACCCGUAAUCCGGGUUGCGGACAGUGUCUGGUGGGUAGUUUGACUGGGGCGGUCUCCUCCUAAAGAGUAACGGAGGAGCACGAAGGUUGGCUAAUCCUGGUCGGACAUCAGGAGGUUAGUGCAAUGGCAUAAGCCAGCUUGACUGCGAGCGUGACGGCGCGAGCAGGUGCGAAAGCAGGUCAUAGUGAUCCGGUGGUUCUGAAUGGAAGGGCCAUCGCUCAACGGAUAAAAGGUACUCCGGGGAUAACAGGCUGAUACCGCCCAAGAGUUCAUAUCGACGGCGGUGUUUGGCACCUCGAUGUCGGCUCAUCACAUCCUGGGGCUGAAGUAGGUCCCAAGGGUAUGGCUGUUCGCCAUUUAAAGUGGUACGCGAGCUGGGUUUAGAACGUCGUGAGACAGUUCGGUCCCUAUCUGCCGUGGGCGCUGGAGAACUGAGGGGGGCUGCUCCUAGUACGAGAGGACCGGAGUGGACGCAUCACUGGUGUUCGGGUUGUCAUGCCAAUGGCACUGCCCGGUAGCUAAAUGCGGAAGAGAUAAGUGCUGAAAGCAUCUAAGCACGAAACUUGCCCCGAGAUGAGUUCUCCCUGACUCCUUGAGAGUCCUGAAGGAACGUUGAAGACGACGACGUUGAUAGGCCGGGUGUGUAAGCGCAGCGAUGCGUUGAGCUAACCGGUACUAAUGAACCGUGAGGCUUAACCUU